rnacentral:rRNA from 1 species
GAGCGAGGCCAAGCAGCAAUGCUUGAGUCGAGCGGCGAACGGGUGAGUAACACGUGAGUAACCUGCCCUAUAGUCGGGGACAACCUUUCCAACGGAAGGCUAAUACCGGAUAUUGUGUUGAUCUGCAUGGAUCGGCAACGAAAGGCUUCGGCCGCUAUAGGAUGGACUCGCGCCUGAUUAGCUAGUUGGUGAGGUAACGGCUCACCAAGGCGAUGAUCAGUAGCCGGCCUGAGAGGGUGAUCGGCCACAUUGGGACUGAGAUACGGCCCAGACUCCUACGGGAGGCAGCAGUAGGGAAUCUUGCGCAAUGGGGGAAACCCUGACGCAGCAACGCCACGUGUGGGAAGACGCAUUUCGGUGUGUAAACCACUGUCGGCAGGGAAUAAUGUGCAGCUAUAGGUUGCAAUGAAUGUACCUGAAGAGGAAGCACCGGCAAACUUCGUGCCAGCAGCCGCGGUAAUACGAGGGGUGCAAGCGUUGUUCGGAAUCACUGGGCGUAAAGGGAGCGUAGGCGGGAUGCCAAGUCAGUUGUUUAAUCCCGGGGCCCAACCCCGGACUUGCAAUUGAAACUGGCGUUCUUGAAUAGGUCAUAGGCGGAUGGAAUUCCUGGUGUAGCGGUGGAAUGCGUAGAUAUCAGGAAGAACACCUGUG